GGGGUUGUAGCUCAGUGGUAGAGUGCUUGCCUGGCACAUGUGAGGCUGGGUUCAAUCCUCAGCUCCA
rnacentral:tRNA from 1 species